GUCUAUGGCCAUACCACCCUGAACAAGUGAUCUCGGAAGCUAAGCAGGGUCGGACCUGGUUAGUAUGUGGAUGGGAAAAUAGCACGGCUACACGUGUGUCAGUGUGCCCAGAGU
rnacentral:rRNA from 1 species